CGGGCCUAACACAUGCAAGUCGAGCGGCAGAGAAGAAGCUUGCUUCUUCUUGAGAGCGGCGGACGGGUGAGUAAUGCCUAGGAAUCUGCCUGGCAGUGGGGGACAACGUUUCGAAAGGAACGCUAAUACCGCAUACGUCCUACGGGAGAAAGUGGGGGAUCUUCGGACCUCACGCUAUCAGAUGAGCCUAGGUCGGAUUAGCUUGUAGGUGAGGUAAUGGCUCACCUAGGCAACGAUCCGUAACUGGUCUGAGAGGAUGAUCAGUCACACUGGAACUGAGACACGGUCCAGACUCCUACGGGAGGCAGCAGUGGGGAAUAUUGGACAAUGGGCGAAAGCCUGAUCCAGCCAUGCCGCGUGUGUGAAGAAGGUCUUCGGAUUGUAAAGCCCUUUAAGUUGGGAGGAAGGGUUGUAGCUUAAUACGCUGCAACUUUGACGUUACCAACAGAAUAAGCCCCGGCUAACUCUGUGCCAGCAGCCGCGGUAAUACAGAGGGUGCAAGCGUUAAUCGGAAUUACUGGCCGUAGUUUUACAGUAGGCGGCUUGAUAAGAUGGGUGUGAAAUCCCCCGGGCUUAACCUGGGACCUGCAUCCAUAGCUGUCUGGCUAGAGUACAGUAGAGGG
rnacentral:rRNA from 1 species